rnacentral:rRNA from 2 species
UGCAUGUCGAGCGAGGUUAGCANUAACCUAGCGGCGAAUGGGUGAGUAACACGUGCUUAAUCUACCUUUUAGAUUGGAAUACCCAUUGGAAACAAUGGCUAAUGCCGGAUACGCAUGGAACCGCAUGGUUCCGUUGUGAAAGGCGCUGUAAGGCGCCACUAAAAGAUGAGGGUGCGGAACAUUAGUUAGUUGGUGAGGUAAUGGCCCACCAAGACUAUGAUGUUUAGCCGGGUCGAGAGACUGAACGGCCACAUUGGGACUGAGAUACGGCCCAAACUCCUACGGGAGGCAGCAGUAGGGAAUAUUCCACAAUGAGCGAAAGCUUGAUGGAGCGACACAGCGUGCACGAUGAAGGUCUUCGGAUUGUAAAGUGCUGUUAUAAGGGAAGAACAUUUGCAAUAGGAAAUGAUUGCAGACUGACGGUACCUUGUCAGAAAGCGAUGGCUAACUAUGUGCCAGCAGCCGCGGUAAUACAUAGGUCGCAAGCGUUAUCCGGAAUUAUUGGGCGUAAAGCGUUCGUAGGCUGUUUGUUAAGUCUGGAGUUAAAUCCCGGGGCUCAACCCCGGCUCGCUUUGGAUACUAGCAAACUAGAGUUAGAUAGAGGUAAGCGGAAUUCCAUGUGAAGCGGUGAAAUGCGUAGAUAUAUGGAAGAACACCAAAGGCGAANGCAGCUUACUGGGUCUAUACUGACGCUGANGGACGAAAGCGUGGGGAGCAAACAGG